ensembl:ncRNA K02E2.14 ncRNA
GUCUGGAGCUUCUUCUUCGGACCCACCGUACUCAUAUUCACCUUCCUGAUUCUUCCCUCCUAUCGGGACACUAUCAUGUGCGGGUAAGUA